GACGAACGCUGGCGGCGUGCCUAAUACAUGCAAGUAGAACGCAGUUGCGAACGGGUGAGUAACGCGUAGGUAACUGCCUCAUAGCGGGGGAUAACUAUUGGAAACGAUAGCUAAUACCACAUACUGUGAGAUGGACCUACGUUGUAUUAGCUAGUUGGUGAGGUAAAGGGUCACCAAGGCGACGAGACAUAGCCGACCUGAGAGGGAGAUAGGCCAAAAUGGGAAUGGGACACGGCCCAGACUCCUACGGGCGGCAGCAGUAGGGGAUCUUCGGCAAUUGACGGAAGUCUUAGCGCGCAACGCCGCGUGAGUGAAGAAGGUUUUCGGAUCGUAAAGCUCUGUUGUUAAAGAAACGGUAACUAACCAGAAAGGGACGGCUAACUACGUGCCAGCAGCCGCGGUAAUAC
rnacentral:rRNA from 1 species